rnacentral:rRNA from 1 species
AUACAGAGGAUGCGAGCGUUAAUCGGAAUUACUGGGCGUAAAGCGCGCGUAGGCGGCUUAUUAAGUCAGAUGUGAAAUCCCCGGGCUCAACCUGGGAACUGCAUCUGAUACUGGUAAGCUAGAGUUUUGGAGAGGGAAGUAGAAUUUCAGGUGUAGCGGUGAAAUGCAUAGAGAUCUGAAGGAAUACCAGUGGCGAAGGCGACUUCCUGGCCGAAAACUGACGCUGAGGUGCGAAAGCGUGGGUAGCAAACGGGAUUAGAAACCCUAGUAGUCC